rnacentral:lncRNA from 1 species
UAUAGAGAUUCAUAUAAGUGAUCAGUUGGAUGAGGCUUCUUGUGAUGGUUGUCUUGAGAAUCUACCUUCUUCUAGUGCACCACAUAUAAAUAUUGAUAAUAUUGAUUCUCAUAUUGAAAUGGAGUCUAAUUCAAUAACUAAUAUGUAUAAUUUCUACAAUGCUUAUGUGAGAAGAACUAGUUUUGAAAUCACAACCAUGUGCGAUAGGUCCCAUAACAAAAAAGAAACAUGCUUCAAACAUCAAACAUAUUGGAGGGAAGAAAGAUCGGGAUGUCACUUUUCAUUACCACUGCAGAACCGAUGGUGGACCAAAAGACCUUCCUAGCUUAUAGGAUAAAUGGUUUAUGAUAAGAAAAAGAGCAUAAAAGGAAUAAGGAAGGAGAGGGCC